AGUGUUUAUAUUUCCCCCUUUUUCUGAAUAAAGUUACAAAAUCACCAGAAUAAAGUUUAGUACUGAAAAUCUGUGUAGGGAACUGUAAUCUGACAAGGUAGAAUGAGAUCACCGUUCUGUGCAGAGCUCUGCUUGUACAGAAAAACAAAAUGAUUUUUACUGAUCUGGAACCACACGAUCAUUUCUGAAUCAUUAUUUUUAUGCUUAGCUGUUAUGUGAAGUGAAUCCACCUCUCUCCUUUGGUAGUCAUUUUAAAUGAUGCACUGAAUACUUCAGCAAAUGCAAUGACUCGUAUCUUUAAAUACUUUACGAGCAUACAGCAGGAUACUUAGAAAGACAUCUUAAAAAGCUAAGAAGUUAAGACCAGUAUAUCGUACACAAAUUAAGUUCUUUUUCCCCUGUAACAGCUCCCAAGCAACAUUUAUUACCUGUGUCCAUGACAUACAUUUUUAGAUGCCAGCUCUUCUAACCAGGCAAUCUAUUUCACAAGCUUUCUAAAGCAGUGUCGUAGCCAUUACAUCAAAUGUUGUUUCACAGAUGGUUAUCAACACUUGGUGUUUCACAGAUGGGAUAGAAGACCCAACACCUGAAUUAAAAAACCCCACCAACACAGUAACGUGCAUUUAAAGAUACCCCCUUAGAAAGUGGCUCUCAAUCUGCAGACUCUUGAGGUUUUAUGAACAAUUUUUAAGUGGGCUGCAAAAUAGUAAUUGAAAAAACGAGGCAUGCUGUCAGAAGGCUGACAGUAUCAGCAGUAGCUGCACUCACCCACUGGAUUUCUUUCUUUUUAAGAAGGUCCUGGAUCACAAAGAAUUGUGAAUUAGAAGAGAUUAGGCUCUAGAAAUCCCGAACUGUUGUGCUUCUUGGUAAGACAAACAUUAUCAAAAAACUGUAUUUCACCACAUAGAAAAAAAAACCUGUCACAUUCUAACGAAUAGGGGGGAAAAAGAAUGAAAGAACUCCUCUUUGACGAGCAGAUUUCUAAUGAUGGGAUACAUCCCACUUGGAGAAGAUGCAAACGAAGAGGCGAAGCAGAGGCAUUAUUUUGCUCCCAGCGCCCACUUCUCACCUGGCUGUACCUACAUUGCAGAAUCCCAUAGAAAGAACAGUAAGAAGAGAGGCUUCCAAUGGGAGGGGUUUGAGGGGCCUUCUGUACUUGUGUGUGUAUCCUUGUUUCUGGAGUAAGCAGGAAAGUAAGGUUUCCAGUUCACAAUCAGACAAGAAGCUGGGAUUCCAGAAGACACAGGAGAGAACAGACAGGGAAAGUGUGCAGUGAGGAUGUGGCAGAGCUAUAGCCACGUUUGGGGUACUGACUUCCAGCUGACCCCAAUGCAUUUAUCCAGCUGUGACCUCUCCAGCUCCUACAGGAAUCCUGUUCUGACCUCUGCCCCUAAAUCUUUACUCCCAUACACUGAUCUUCAGUUCUACCCAUAUACCCCAUCACUGCUUCUAUACCCACAUGCCUUCCUUAUAAGCAUAUUAAUCCCUCUCUCCUAUCACCCCCAGAUGACACUGGUAAAUAAGUUUUUUUCCACACUACAGUGCUAGAAAAGCACUCUCCUCCCUUGUACGUUUCUGAUACAAGGCAAAGAUUUCCUCCUGACCUCAUACCCAGCUUAGCCCUGUGCAUGUGAACAAGACAAACCAACCAUACGCACUGUACAUAUUAGAACACUGAAAAGUGACUGCAGAAUCCUAUCAGUUAGCAAGGGGCAUUUAGUAAUAAUAAUAUAAUAACAAUAAUAUAAAAGCAUUCACAAAACUCAUUUCCUAUAUGUAUCAAAAAAACAGGAAUAAGAGAGAUGCGACAAAAAAAGGGUUACACAGAGCAUGCUGGCCUACUUUAAUUCCCUUAGAACACCGUUACUGUAACUGCUGUUGCCAGUAGUAUUUUGCUUACCUUUCAUAUAAUACGUAUGCUACAAUCUAACUUUAGGUAAGACAAUAGACUUCUUCAGGAUAAACACAUUUAUACCAUUUGAAUGAAGGUUUAUAGUUUGGCAUUUCUCCACUUCAGCACCACCGUGAUUGCUAAAAAGCUGUGCAGUAUGUUGGAAAAGAUAUAAUGUCUGCAAAUUAUUUAUGGAUGUGCUUGUGUGGUAUUUAUGACAACAGAAAGUAACCUACGCUGGGGCAACUGAAAGCAUAGCUAAUACAAAUACAUUACGAUUCUGGAAAAUUGUCAGUAUGGAUGAUAUUAAUAAUAAUAAUAGGAGGCUUGAUAGGAGGAAAAGGAAGGUUUUUACAAUGUAAAAUUACCAUCCGGGGAGCUUAUGUAAACUAAAGAGCGUGGUCAAAUAGGAGUGGAUUUUUUUAGAGUAAUAAACUGAUCCUGUGCUAAGACAUGCUAAUACUCGUAAGAAAAGUCUGCAUCUGCUAAUGUUGCUAGAAAGUCAGAUAAGCAUUCAAAGAUGUACAUAUGUUUUCAUUUGAUUAAGAUGAGAAGUCUAAUCUUUGUGCUAUGGGGACCCAAUCCUCACUUCUCAGGCCACUAAAUCCACUAUUCAUGAGCGCAGAUGGAAAGGAAGAGGAGCAAAGACUAUUAGCGGUGCUCAGGACAAGGCAACAAUUAAAAAAGCAGCCGUUCUGUUACUAGAUCCUGGGAAGGACGUGGUGGGGACAGAAGGGUUGCUGCUACCAGCUUGAUCUUCCUGGCUCCCUCUGGGAAUCUCUUGCUGCUGCUUCAGGCUGGACGUUAGGAAAUACUACUUCUCUGAAAGGGUGGUCAGGCACUGGAAUGGGCUGCCCAGAGAGGUGGUGGAGUCACCGAGCCUGGUGGUGUUCAAAGAGCGUUUGGAUGUUGUGUUGAGGGACAUGGUUUAGCGGGAACCAUUGGUGAAGGGCGGAUGGUUGGACUGGAUGAUCCUGUGGGUCUUUUCCAACCUUGGCGAUUCUAUGAUUCUAUGCUUCUCCUGCAGAGGCAUGUGGCCUAUCUAAUGUUGAAAAAGCAGGCAGUGCUCUCUGCCUUUUCAUACACAGCAGAAGAGCAGAGCCCAAAUUUCUGGAGCAAUAGAUUGCUGUCAGCCCUUAACAUUUUUCACAAAACAGCACACUCCCACCUGAUUAAACUUUUAAUUGAAGGCACUAUUUAAAGCACCAUUAGAUAUGGUUUAGCCCAAAGGCUGUUCAACUUACCAUAGCCCUGUAACCCAUUAGGGCUUAGUGGACCACAGCUUGAAAACCAUUCCUGCCACGUCAGAAAUACGAUGAUGUUCCCUGCUCCCUCCCUCCCUCCUGACCUUCUGGUUGCUGUGUUAAACGUUACUGCUCCUCUAUCUGAUUUCCCUUGAGACUGAUUUUAGGACCUGCUAUUUGCUUCUGGCUUUCUGAAGUAGCAGCAAACUGGCAAUCUCCUUCGCCCAUACAUUUGUAAACAGGAGAAGUAAGGCCAAUAUGACCAUAACAUUACUACUGCCAGACAAAGGAAUAGACAGAAGCAUAGUUUAGAUAUCAAUAAAUAUAUGUAUAUCUUUCAGGUUUAGGAAAAAGGGACCAAUUUACAUUUGAUUCAUAUUUGAAAAUUUAUCAUCAGACAACAAGGCCUACGAGCUUUUAUUUACAGAAAAGCUGUAAUUCUACACAGGUUGGGUUUUGGCCACGGCUGGUCCAGGACAAACAGAUGUGCAGUUUUGUGCCACAGAACUAUGGCAGAUGAAACUGGUAUCUUCUGCUAUCAUAAAGGUCACCUAAGAUACAGAAAACAGUGACCAAGGGCUCCUUGUUAUUCUAUUCUAAGAAAUAAAGAGUUAGAGUCUCCUAUUAAAUGCUUCCACAUAUUCGUGGUUUUAGAGAUCUUUCUCAUGUUAUGACUCCUCAGCCAGCAUUUUUCCAAAAUGAAGAAUCCUGAUUCUGUUACUGUCCCUGCACAAUAGCUGUGCCAUAUCUUCAUCAUCCGUGUCUGUUUUUUAUAUAAUUCUCAUCAGUGCUCAAAACUGACUGGUAUGCCAGCAUGACUCCUUUGUUUCAAGUACCAUAUUGCAUCAAAUCCAUCCGGAAUGAUUUCAAGAAAUCAGCAAGAGCUGCUAAAAAUCCACACAAGCAUUAGGAAAAGGCUUGAGAACCCAGGCUUUUCACAGCAGCCAGACAGCAGCCAUCAGCUUAACAAUUAAACUUCACCUCUGUGACAGGCAGGAAUGCCAGGAUCAAAGUCUGUAUUUCAAGCUCACCUAAGGCUGUGAAACCCUAAGAAAUAGGGAAGUAGAACUUCCAAGUUGCAGCUCCUGUUAGAACAGCUGCAAGUCCAUGCCUUCCUGAGCAGCAGGCCUGGCUGCAGCCUGCAGAGCUGACAGAUGAUGAGGUAAUGACCCUCUCUGCUGACAGGUCUGGUUUAACAGUGGGUCAGUCAUACCUGGCCUCUGGGACAGCCGUGGCUCCUGCAGCACCACAGCCCGUGCUGUGAGAUCCUUCUGCAACUCUUCAGGGCCAACGUCAGCUCUGACUCCAAAUGCACAGUAGCCUUUUAUCGUCUCUAAGCAUUAUCACUGCACUUUUUCAUACCAUUUAGGAACAGGUGGACCAGAAAAGGUGCCAGUACAAAUUGCUGGGAGGUGGUGUCAUUAAAGCCACCUACUAGUUGCUAUAGUCUUCUUUAUCUUGUAACCGUUUAUUAAUCCACAAGGAAUCUUACGUAUCUCAACACUUCACUGUGUUAACAUUCUUUGGUGAUAGACCUUUUUAAAAGCUUUUUGGGUGACCCAUGCCCAUGUGUCUGUUUACUGCUUCAAACAAUAAGCGAAGCCGUAAGACAAAACUACCCUGUACAGAAAGUCAAGGUGAUGGUUGCCUAUUACAGCCACACGUGUUCCUAUUAAUUAUAUUCUUUAUCACAUUCACUGGCAUUUUGCCUGCCAUGGAAGUCAGACUUAUUAGUACAUUAGUCCACGAUCGUCCCUAGAGACCUUUUUAACAUGGUCACAUUUGCUGCUUUCCAUUCCUCUGUCAUCAACACCAAUUUAAAUGAUAGAUAAUACAACACAGUUCACAGAUAACCAGUUUUAUUUCUGAAUUUCUCUGCAACUACCGAAAGAACAUCGUGCUAUCUGGCAAUCUGCUAAUGCCCAUUUAAUCAAGUUGUUCAAAAAUCUUUUAUUGAUAUUUAAAAAUUGAAAUACUUCUUAUAAAGAACAACUUUUAUAUGGGACUGUACCUAAUCUCCCUGGAAUAAACUCUGCCAAUGCAAGGGUUUGUCCAUAUGUUUCUUUCUGUAGUGGCUUUGCCUUUAAAUAUUCUGUCUCUGGAACUCGGUGUCCUGCUAGCAGAAUUAACUGAAAAGUUUACACUUAUAGAUUUUUCUUUUUGCUUUUAUGAUUUUAGCCUAUUGCUCCUCAAAAUCUUUUUGUCCCUCCUUAGAAUAGGUCUACAUUUAACUUCCCAGAACUGUGCUCUUCUCCUCUUUGCUUGUUUGGAUUUCACUUUUUGAAAAACAUCUAUUUGUUCCUCGUAACUUCCCUUACUGCUCAGUUGUCAUGAAUUCUUAUUCACUUGGGUCAGAAUUAGAAAACAAACACUCUGUGUCUCUCUUAGCCUCUUACAAUUUUUACUUGAACGAUUUCUUCAUUUGUAUGCAGUUCUUUUUUACAGUUAAACAAUACUGGAUUGUUUAUUUAUUUUUAUCUUUUUCUCUCAUGCAAAUACGACAAACUUCAGUUUGAUGUGAUGUACCACUACCAAAUGUCUUUCCUAUAGUUACUCUGUCAACCAAAUCCUGGUUACUAAUCUAAACGAACUCAAGAGCUGUCCUCGUUCUACUGGAUUCUCUGGAUAGUUUGCUCAAAAGUUAGUUCUUGAUGGUAGUUAAAAACACAGCUUAUGCAUGAUGCCCUAAUGUUAAGCUUAUCCAGACCAUAGUUUGAAAACUGAAAACUCUUGUUACUAUCGAGCUUCUCAGUUGUAUAGCCUCUCUGGCCUCCUGCUGUAUUUCACGGUCACUGUGUCCACUCUGUCAGCUCAUUCAGAGCUCUUGCCAGGCUUCUCCUGCUCAGAUAUGGAACCACUUGUAAUUAUAUUUUAUGGUUUAGUCUGAUAAAUUUAACUUAUUUGACUAGUUAGCAUAUAGAGACCAACAGACCAAUCUAUCAUUUCUCUAUCAGCAAGGCACUAACAUUUCAUCAUCUCUGUUAUCAUCUAAACGCUGAUAUUUUGGUGUCACUUUGAAAGAAGGAAAAGGGGCACAUGCAGACCCACUUCCAGAAAGAGAGCAACAUACCUGAGGAAUUCCUGUUGCGAUUCACGCUUACCACUCUUCUGAAGAAUCAUUAUCUUCAAGGUACCAGGGAAACAGAGCAGUAUCAGGUAGCAAUGUACCUUGAUACCGAAUCAAAACUAGUGCAGGUUCCUUCUCAACAGAGAACCAAGUGGCAUUUGACAAGGACUGACCAACAGAAUGGCCUGUGGUUAUUCAAGAUUUCUGUACCAAGAGAUGCUGUGUCAGGAAGGGAAGGCACUAAGUAGCAGAAUGACACUAUGGAAGUAUAUGAAGUCCUUUAAUCUCUUGUAUACACUGAGGAUUCAUAAUACUCACAUUAACUUCCUCUGAGGAGGGAGAGUCUGCUGUUACUGCUGUGGAGAAGAUAAAGAGGGGUGCUUUCUGGACACAAUGCCAGUAGCUAUUGACUUGGGUUCGACAGCUGAGAAGACUUCUGGGGUGCUAGCAUUUUCUGUGUUGGCUGAAACUCACUUCUCUCCCUUUUGUGAGGCCCCUAUUUUUGUGAGCACCUUAUUUCUGCAUUAAGUAUGAUGCGAGUCAGGGCUCAGCAGAAUCCAGAGGCUACACUGCAGUAUCCAACAAGUGUUCAUUAUUAUUUAUUUGCAUUACCACAAAUCCUAGAAGGCUACACCCUGGACCACUUCUCGUUAUGCUGGGCCAUGAAUAAGCAUACAACAAAAAGUCCACAUGAAUUCUACGUGAAGAGACAACAGAGAUUACUGCAGAGUACAAAGGCAAUGACAAAGUAUUACUGUGACAAGCAUCGGUAUUAGUAUACUUGUACAACAUACUUAUUUUCUAGUUGGAUUGUCAUAAGCUUCACAGUACAUAAAACUUUCAAGAAGAUAUUAAAGGGAGACAGCAAACAGUUCUGUUUAAGAAGGAGUCAACUACUACACGAGAGGCAGCUGAGGAGAAAGUAUCCAGUGUGAAAAUAUAACAACUGAAUGAUGGAAGCUGGCAUCAUAUGUUGAUCAAAAUCAGAGUCAACCUCUUGAUACUGAAGGAAAGGUAUCAGGUAGAAGUAGUCUUGAUGGGCCUUGAAAACAAAGACAGAUAGCUUAUCUUUAUUGCUUUCAAUUGAAGGAGGAAGUUUAAAAAGCCAAAGGAGUAAAUCUGGAAACUGAUAUUUACAGCAGCACUUGGAACGCAUAAUGACAAGACUACAUUUGUCAAGGCAAAAGAAGAAGAUUUUCUAAUAACGAUAUGAUCCAUGGAAAACCUGGAUGAAAAAUACAAGCAACCAACAGAGAAGAAAGAGCAUCCCUGAAGGAUUGGAAAAAGAUUUCCAAAAACUAAGAUUUAGCCUAGGUUUGAUGACUUAAAGCAAACAACAGCAUGAUGGUGUCAUUCACCGAGGAUGCAGAGAGGUUUUGUGAGGACCCCAACCAAAAAUAUGAAAAAAUUGCUAACAAAAGUUGUAACUGGAAAUAAAGAACUGAGGACAACGCUGAAGAAAAUUUUCAUGCAUUAGAUCUGCUUAGGAGUAAAAAAGAAGAUGGGAGGAGGUAUAUGAAGUGACACAUAAAACACUGUUCUUCCUGUACUAUGAAAUAAGAAAAUUCUUUCACGCCACAUUUAUUACUGGGUUAUUACAGCUACCUGAGCUACCAUGUUUUGACUUUCAAGGACUGAAGAAGAAGAAUGUUCAUGAGAAUGUAAUUUGAUGGGUGCCUCAUUCAGCAAACAAAAACAUGCUACAUCCAGCUCAAAGACAGGACAUUGGUGAUACAAGCCAAGCGCAAACAGCAGUGGAGAAAAAGAUCUUACAGCUUAAAGUUAAAACAACUAACAUGCUGAACAUUCAGGCACAUUCCUUUCCUCUUCCUCCUUAUUGUACAGAACCAAGGCUAUCAUUUCAGCUUGCCACUGAAGGAAAAUUACUCUCCUUUGCUCUAGUUUGGUAUUUCCAGCCCUUGAAGUAUUCCCAAACCUACAUAAAGUGUGCCCAUGUAGCAAAUGCCCACACCCUAAAUUCCACAAACAUCAACAAGAUCUCUUCGUGUCUGCUUUCUUGCUGUUUCCUAGUUUUAGUCAUUUACAACAGCACAGAAUGGGUUGAACUAAAGGAACAAGCAGAUCAGGUGCUCAACCACACGGGUUAGCAGCCGUGAGUACUGGAGACAUACAGCAGGAGACAAUUCAGAGUUCCUUUUCUUCCAAACAGUGUUUUGUAGCAGCAUUACCUCAGGCAGAAUAGAGCUGUGCCCCUACAUUCUUUCUCUCAAAGCACAGGGAAGUUGCUCUCUCAGGAAGGAGAUGCAGUCAGAUGUGUAUGAGCUGCCCUCCGUAGAGAUGACUGAAAAACUUGGAGACAUAUGAAACAUCCAGGGGCCUCCUCAUACCCCACUAAUAUAUCACCUUGCUUCUUUAUCUCUUCUGAAACCAGAUCUUUUCUGAGGCACUUUUUUUUUUCAAUCUGGUGUGGAGAGGGAACAUAGGAGGCUGGGUUUGGUUGCUGUGCAAUCACCUGAUCUCUCUCUCCUUUUCUUUCCUUUGCACAACUUAGGGGAAGUAAGAAUAAAUAUGGCAUAUAGAACUAAAAGAUGAAAACAGUCAACUAUUAGAACUGUGCUUUUUAAACAAACAAACAAAAAAAAUAUCAUUCAAGAUUUUAGAUGCAAAGUGAAAUAUUCAGUGUUCUCAUUAUUCAGGAGAAACAUUCAAUGUUCUCAAACUAUGGUUUCAUCUCAUAUUAAAAAAUAACUCCAUUUCAUUUUUGUGUUCAGAAAUUAUAAAAGAAGCACCGUAACAUCCCGUAACCAAAAUAAUCCCAUUGGGUUUUGAGCUCUCUUUGAGAUGUUCAAAUUUAAAAUAGUUAAGUUAUGAGUUUGAACAAGAAACUCUUUCUUCUGCUUAGCACUAGCCACAUUUUAGCAUAUGUAGACCAUCGACCUCUGUUCUUAGUUGCAGUUGUCAUCUCAAAUACUCUGUUUAUACAGGUAAUUCACAGUCACUAACUCUCCAAAGCCCACACGACCCCUCCAAAAAAACUGCAGAGAACUGUAGAGAAAGACAUUUCCUGGAAGUUUUAAAUUAAAUAGAUAGGUAAAUCAACCAGAUAUUUGAUGAAAUGAAAGGUACCAGUAGCUACACAUUCAGUUCUCCUUCUGGGCAUAUUUUUGCCAUAUAUUCUUCUGUUUAGUUCCUUGUUUCUUUUUGAGUUUUAUUUUGUUUGUUUGUUCAUUUGUUUGUUAAUUGGACUCUCAAGUCUGCUUUUGAUCUGGUUAUGAUCUCUUCUUUGGUCUUGCUCUUUCUUCAAAUUCAUUUAAUGUUACUUUUGUGCCAAGCAAAAAAAUAAUUCUACAAUCUCUUUUUCUUUACUCCCCAAUCACUGUCUGCAUCUUUGCUCUACAUGAAGGAAUAUCUAAUUGGCCAUGCCUACAAAUCCUCUACAGCUUCACACUUCCUUAAUAAUUACUCACAGAUUCAAUACCAAUUCUAGUUCUUCCAUCUUCCAGAUACAAGAUUGCCUUCAGAACAUUUUUGUACUUGAACACCAGAAAGGAAAUACACCAUCAUAAAAAAAAGGGCAUGGAGUUUAUAAAGCCAUUAGCGUUACACAGGUAAAACACCUACACAUAAUUUUUGCUCUCUUGGAUAUAAAAAUAGGAAUCAUAGCAAUGCCUGUACCCAUAGAUACAAGCAAAAAACUUCCUCUUCAAUACAAGUAUAUUUAUAGUUAUUUUGGGUGAAUCCACUGACAAAGGGUAUGGAUAAUUAUUACCGAUUAAGCACAGGGUACUUAGUUAAAAUAAAAUAUACAGUUCUUGCCUAAGAAGCCUAUAAUUAAUCAGCAUGUGUGAUCAAAUUGCCACUCAUAACGUCAGAUCAGUUUAGUUUAAUUUAACCAAGUUACUUUGACAUGAGCAUAAGUAUAUAUUUAUUAACAUUUCAACGUUCAACUCAGCAAGACAAUUAUGUUAGUAAAUCUGCUUGCAGUAGCUACACAAAUAUUGGAGGCAUAAACGGUUUUUAUAGAUCUAUAAAUUUGGAAAAUUUUAUGGGUGAAGAUAGAGAGCAGCUCAGAAACACACUCUUCUGAAAGCAAAGGAAAUAAACAAAUGAAAACUCCCUACCUAACAGCAGUGCUGAAGGACUCCGGGUUCACGUGGUGAAUUAUCCAAGAAUAAUGAUAUCCUUAAUGGAUAUAUUGUAUGGAUUUUCUAAAAAGAACCGGAGUCACACAUAAAUCACACCUCUUGAUUAACCCUUUUAUCAUUAUUAGUCUGUCAACAUCAGCAAAGACUAACUAUUGAAAAAUUCAAUCAUUUCAGUGUACUUACAGCUGAAUUUUCUCAUCAUGUGACCAACUAUCCACAAAGCCUCAGUGCCAUUAAGAAGUUUUGAGGAAUAUAUUAUUUGGUACUGCCAAAAAAACAUAAUUAAAAGAACGCAUGUAAAUUAUAUUUAUUUUCUAAUUCAAAACUUUUUUUUUAAUGAUUAUUUCACGUCUAAAGUACAUUUGGGGGAAAGGCAGAACUUACAUUAUCCCAAAAGGCAGGUUCCAGCACAACCCAUGAUACACUGACAGAAUUCACAGUAAGAAGGCACAGUAGGGUCACACAAACAGAACCCCGCACUACUGCAGAAUCUCCUUAAUUUCAAUAGGGCCCUACCCACAUAUAAUCAGUUACAGAGUCCGCCUAUGUGGGAGUAACAACAGUGAGCACGGGACCCGUUCCUCCACACACCUGCAAAACAAGAAUGCAGCGAACUGCCCUUCAGGUAGAUCCAUGCUUCUCUUCCAAUUCCGUGUUGUAUCUCCCAAAGCUUAAGAAAAGUUCAGUGAUACACAGCUUAGUAACACAACACUGACGUUAAGUUUAAAGAGUCAAUCUGUUCAGUGGGUUUUUCUGCUUUGUUUUUUAGAGAAUAAGCAUAAUGGCUAUUAAAGAAUCACCUUACGAUCCUGCUACUGCUACCUGGCUUCAGAUCAUUAUUAUUAGAGAAUAAUUUUUUAAUAACGAGCAAGUCCCAGUUCCCUUUUUGAAAAAUGCCACCCACUGUGCUCUUCAUACCCUUCCUAUUGCUCUAGAGACAAAGAAUAGUCAGCGUGGCAAAGUUAAUAGAGAACUGGACAUUACAGGACAGGUUGGAAGGAAACAAUGUGAAUGGGACCAGGAGUGAAAACGACUUAACAAAAAAGGGAUGGAAUAAAAGAAACAACGUUACUUUCUUAGCAGGGCAAUAAAAACGGGAUUUUCAAAACCAUCCAACUUCUAUUGAAGUGAAAGAAUUACAUCAAUUCCAAAUAUGCUUUUAGAAAACCUUUAAGCCACUUAUCUUUAAGCAUUUAACUUUAAGCAUAUGGAGUAUCUAAACUCCGCUCAGCUAAACAACUGAAGUGCUUAAAUUUAAAAAACAAAUGUAAAUCAUCUUGAAAGCAUUCACCCCGUUUGUAAUACCAAGCUUGCAUACAGAUCUGAGCCCCAACUCCUUACCCUGCUUACAUGCUGACUCACACUUGGGCUGGAUCCAGCCUAUUGGUUCUCAGACAGGCAAACCCAAGUACAAAACGUGAGGGGCUAACGUGCAUUCAGACUUCUCUCUCACAAGCUGGACUCGUGCAAGUAUCGUGACUUAGGUACGAGAUUAAUUGUUUGGUGAAGCAGAGUGCAAAUGAUUAAAUGCUUCGAGUUAAUUCGGGGGAGAGGGUCUCAGAAAGAAAACUAAAGAAAGUGCCCGAGGAAGAAAAAAGAAACUGAAAAUUAAAUCUGGAUUAAAAAUAAAUGACCUCUGGGUUAUAUCUCAGUGCACUCUGCCUGAAAACCACUGCUUCUUUUUGGCUUAAGUAUCAAAUCUCAUUUUUAAAUAUGCAAAAUGGUAACUAACUCAGACAAAGGUUAAAUUAGUUCAGUGUUUGCUGACAGUACCGCAGUAAUCCUUAACACAGAGCAUCACUCGGUUAUUGGUGUAAAGGGCUCGCCAUUUCUUCUGCCUUACAAACACACCCGCGCUUCCAGUCCUGCUUUGGUAAAGAGCAGGGUGAGGGUUAAUACCCAAUAUUCCAAUCUCUGUGGUAGCAGCCAUAAAGGGAGGAGGAAAUGUGGAGAUCGUAAGCUGCUAGUGGGGUUCUGUCCCUUUUACUCCUUACUCUACAGUGCAGUUGCUAAAGGAAAACAUAAAUUGAGCCACUGAAAUCAAAACAGUGAACCAACAAAGUUCAGGGACAUCUCUUGGCAUCCUGUGAACUUCUGGUCAUUGUGAUCUGCCUCCUAAACUGUGGAUCAUUGUAUACACCGUUAUUUUAAGCUGUCACCUCUCAAAACUACCAGGAAGCCAGUACCAGUGCUUAACAGCUACAUUCUCAUGUCCUCUCCCACUACUAAUAUCCCACCCUUCACCUACAGCUAUAAAAAAGGAAAUUCUCUCUAUUUAAAAUGCGUGCUUAAUAAUCCCAUACGUGUAAAAAUCAUGACUCCGUGUUGGUACGGAGCUAGAGCAAGGUUAAAGACCUGACUAAGGCAGUGAGUUACUGAUAGAAUUAGUUCCUCUCCAGAUUCAG
ensembl:lncRNA